GAUGAACGCUAGCGGCAGGCUUAAUACAUGCAAGUCGAGGGGCAGCAGGGCGGUAGCAAUACCGUCGCUGGCGACCGGCAAACGGGUGCGGAACACGUACGCAACUUACCCUGAACUGGGGCAUAGCCCGGGGAAACCCGGAUUAAUACCCCGUAACACUAUGAGGUGGCAUCACCUUGUAGUUAGAGCUCCGGCGGUUUGGGAUGGGCGUGCGGCUGAUUAGGUAGUUGGUUGGGGUAACGGCCCACCAAGCCUACGAUCAGUAACUGGUGUGAGAGCACGACCAGUCACACGGGCACUGAGACACGGGCCCGACUCCUACGGGAGGCAGCAGUAAGGAAUAUUGGGCAAUGGAGGCAACUCUGACCCAGCCAUGCCGCGUGGAGGAUGAAGGCCCUCUGGGUUGUAAACUUCUUUUACCUGGGACGAAACCUUCCCAUUCCUGGGGAGUUGACGGUACCAGGGGAAUAAGCACCGGCUAACUCCGUGCCAGCAGCCGCGGUAAUACGGAGGGUGCAAGCGUUAUCCGGAUUUCACUGGGUUUAAAGGGUGCGUAGGCGGGCAGGUAAGUCCGUGGUGAAAUCUCCGAGCUUAACUCGGAAACUGCCAUGGAUACUAUUUUGUCUUGAAUACUGUGAAAGGUGAGCGGAAUAUGUCAUGUAGCGGUGAAAUGC
rnacentral:rRNA from 1 species